rfam:Streptomyces hygroscopicus ATCC 53653 genomic scaffold supercont1.1, whole genome shotgun sequence.
CGCCAAGCCGGUGGCUCCGGAAGACGCCGGAGCCUAGUGCACAAGGGA